rnacentral:lncRNA from 1 species
GGAGCUUGUGUGGAGGAUGGGAGGGCAGGCUCAGAUGGGAUUUUCUCAUCUACUGCUCCAGUUCACAUACUGCGAGGGAGAAGGAACUCAGUGAAUAUUGCCCUGGGUCCUGGUAAUUCCACCUACUGAAGACAACUGCCCCUUCUGCUCAUAUUUCCUGAGUCAACAUGGCCGUUCCUAACUUUGAAGAGACUUUAGACAUUCUUUGUUACAAUGAACCUAGAAGAAAGAAGAGAAAUAAUAACUGCCAUGGAAGGAUGCUCCUCCUGCCAAUUGGCACUUAUCAAUGACAUCGAGGGAGAGGGACAGAGUGCCUAGGUAUGAGCCUUCAUCAAGUGGUAUGAAGGCCCUACCCCAACAGAAAGUGCUGAUGUGAUGAAAUGGUGCUUUGGACAAGACUUUUCCUCCAAGUUGGUCCUAUCCAGGGGUUGGCAAACAGGGUCCCUGGACAUCAUCCAUGUGGCAUACUCUUAUGAAUAAAGUUCUAUAGGACACAGA